AGGAAGAGGGAGGUUAGGUUUCCCACCUUGCUCGUUCAGACGGCGGCGGCGGCCAUGUCCUGCUCCUUGCCUUCCCGGAGGUGUAGGGCCACCUCAACCCCAUGUUGUAGCUCGGCCGCCGCCUCGCAUACCACGGCCUCCGCCCCAGGCUCGUCACCACGCGCCACCUCCUCGCCAUUGUCCUGCCCCCUUUGCCCCCCUUCCGCGUCGCCACCAUCUCCGCCGGCUUCGACGAUGGCGGCAUGGCAGCUUGCCCGGACUUCAGGGAGUACGUCCACCGUCUCGCGGCCGCAGGGUCUAAAACCCUCGAGGCGCUCUUCCUGUUCGAGCCCGGGGCGGGGAGGCCCGUACGCGUGCUCGUCUACGACCCGCACCUGCCCUGGGCGGGCCGCGUGGUUCGCGCCGCCGGUGUGCCGACGGCCGCGCUCUUGUCGCAGCCCUGCUCGGUGGACGUCGUCUACGGGGAGGUCUACACAGGCCGCGUCGGCCUGUCGGUCGUGGACCGCGCUCCGGGGCCUGCUGAGCGUCGACCUGGGACCGGAGGACGUGCCGUCGUUCGUGGCGGCGCCGGAGUCGUACCGUGUGUUACUGGACGUGGUGGUCGGUCAGUUCGAUGGGUUGGAGGACGCCGACGACGUGUUCGUCAACUCGUUCCAUGAGCUCGAGACCAAGACGUGAUGAUGCUCAACACACAUAUGGGUUCAAACAGGAGGCGGACUAUUUGGCAUCAACAUGGCGUGUGAAGACCAUCGGCCCGACGCUGCCGUCGUUCUACCUGGACGACGAUCGGCCCAUUCAUUCAUAGUUGCAAAUCGAUCGGAGUUCCGUGUCCAGACGAGCUUUGCAUUCAUUCAUGGUUGAAAAUGAAUCCAAGUUCUGUGUCGGUGACCCCAAGAAUGUCCACCUCAAGCAGAUGGACGAGGCCUGGGAGAAUAUGCACUUGUUCAGGGCCGACGUGCUCGACUACGACACGCUGACACGUGCGCUUGAGGGGUGUGAGGGGGUCUUCCACCUCGCCACUCAGGUGCCUGAAGAUAAGAUUGUUGAUCCUGAGGCAGUUAGAAGUAUUGGCUCCUGCUCUGAAAGGUACUUCAAAUGUGCUAAAGGCUUGCUCGGCUAUGAAGGUUCAGAAGGUUAUUGUCUUGUUACCCACUACUGCAGUUCAUCAUGUUCUCGGCCCAUGUAUUAUUACUCCUUUGCUGAUGUGCUGUAUCCUAAUUUCAAAAUAAUAUUUUGCUAUUCGCUGUUGCAAAGGAGUCCUCGAAAUUCCUGCCCAUCUUGAAGGAAACAUCAAAAUCAUUCAAGGGAAAGCUUUUAUUUGUUUUUGUGGAGCGUGACAAUGAGGAAGUUGGUGAACUGUUGCCAAUUACUUUGGAAUUAUGUGAUAGCUUGGCUUAUUAGGGAUGAUAGACUACUCAUAUCAAUAAUAAGCCAGGCUAUCACAAAUUACUGGACAAGAGACCACGGUUCUUGCUUACACUGGGAAUGAAGACGCUAAGAAGUUUUCUUCAGUGGUGAAAUAUCACUGGACAACAUUAAGGAAUUUGCUCAAGAUUUCCUGGAGGACAAGCUCACACCAUUCUACAAGUCUGACCCAGUACCUUUUGGAUGAGUCAAAAGAUGCCCUUUUGGAUAUAUAUGCACCAUGGUGUGGCCAUUGUCAGUCACUGGAGCCUAUCUACAACAAGCUGGCCAAGUUUCUCCAUGGCAUUGACUCCCUUGUAAUAACCAAAAUGGAUGGCACAAAUAAUGAGCAUCCUCGUGCCAAGGAAAAGAGACAUAAGGGGUGUGUGGUGAUCAUUGUAUGAAGGAAGGAAACCCAAGGUACUCAACCUAUUGAUGCACAUGGACAUGAUGACUCUCUAGCGUUCAUGGACCAACCAACCUGUAAUCGUCGACCUUAUUGUCUUGUAGACCAUUUGGUGUUUUGAGUGUUUUGGAGCUUGCACUUUGUGCAUGUAGA